GUUAUAUGUAGCUCAGUGGUAAAGCAUGUGCUUAGCAUGCACAAAGCCCUGGGUUCAAUCCCCAGCAACA
rnacentral:tRNA from 1 species